rnacentral:rRNA from 1 species
CCAAUAGCGUAUAUUAAAGUUGUUGCAGUUAAAAAGCUCGUAGUUGAAUUUCGGGGUUAGUAGGUUGGUCAUGCGUCUGGUAUGUACUGGUCUCACUGAUUCCUCCUUCCUGAUGAGCCGUAAUGCCAUUAAUUUGGUGUUGCGGGGAAUUUGGACUGUUACUUUGAAAAAAUUAGAGUGUUUAAAGCAAGCUAACGCUUGAAUACAUUAGCAUGGAAUAAUGAAAUAGGACGUUCGAUCCUAUUUUGUUGGUUUCUAGGAUUGACGUAAUGAUUAAUAGGGAUAGUUGGGGGCAUUAGUAUUCAAUUGUCAGAGGUGAAAUUCUUGGAUUUAUUGAAGGCUAACUACUGCGAAAGCAUUUGCCAAGGAUGUUUUCAUUAAUCAAGAACGAAAGUUAGGGGAUCGAAGACGAUCAGAUACCGUCGUAGUCUUAACCAUAAACUAUGCCGACUAGGGAUCGGAUGAUGUUAAUUUUUUAAUGACUCAUUCGGCGCCUUACG